UACAGAGGCCCCAAGCGUUAGGCGGAAUCACUGGGCUUAAAGCGUGUGUAGGUGGAUGCCUAAGUACCUUGUGAAAUCCCACGGCUUAACCAUGGAAUUGCUUGGUAUACUGGGUGUCUUGAGCCACUCAGGGGCUACCGGAACAAACGGUGGAGCGGUGAAAUGCGUAGAUAUCGCUUGGAACGCCAACGGUGAAAACAGGUUGCUGGGGGUGUGCUGACGCUGAGACACGAAAGCCAGGGGAGCGAACGGG
rnacentral:rRNA from 1 species